GCCUUGGUGGCUGCCCUUCCCAUGCACCACCAAACACCUAUAGGUCACCUAGGCUACUAGGUCUAAUGCACACCUUAAUGCCCUACCAUUAAACUCCUCAUUCACAACACAUAAAGUCUCAUUUACGAAACUAUUUCACAUACGACACACUAUAGAACACUAGCUCUUGGCUCUAGUUCAUCCUAAUUCAUUUUGAGGGGUGUUACAAUAUCCCCCACUUGGGAACAUUCGUCCUCGAAUGACACUUUAAAACAUUAAGGGUAAUUGCGCAAGACUAGCAGCCCACCAUCAAGCCUCUAACCGUAUAAACAAUACACAAAACAAAGGAGGAAAAACAAAUUCACAUCUAAUCCUCGUAUAAGCAUCAUGCAAUUCAAGAAAGUAAAAGCACACUCACUAACUCCUUAUGCACCUCACAUUACCAUUCCUUUCAUUUCAUUAUUGGAGGAACUUCCUUCUCCACAUUACCAAGCCCAUUUCAACAUCAACGAAUCCAAUAAGCAAUAGACACAUCAUGCAAUUCUUCAAGAACACUCUUAAGCAUGCUCAACUAAUCAACUCCAACAACUUUUAGCAACUCACCAAUUUACGCAUAUAAGGAGAACAACAAUCAUGAAACUCAUUUUCUCAUUUAAAUCAAGAACUCAAUUUAAAGCAUGCGUCAUUAUAGAUAGAAAUAUAGAAACUCAUUUUUCACACAAGACUCCAAAAACCAUGCAUCAUGCUUUUACAAUUUUGUGACUCAAGCUUGAUUUGGAAUAGAAGGAAGGGACAAGAAUAUCCAAACUCACCUCAACUCAUCAUUCAACAUACCAUCCCCCACUUAGUAGAAACCCAUCUAAACCAACACAAACGGAUUCCAACACAAAACUAAAAAUUAUGACUU
rnacentral:lncRNA from 1 species